rnacentral:rRNA from 1 species
UACGGGGGGGGCAAGCGUUGUUCGGAAUUACUGGGCGUAAAGGGCGCGUAGGCGGCCUUCUAAGUCGGACGUGAAAUCCCUCGGCUUAACCGAGGAACUGCGUCCGAUACUGAAAGGCUUGAAUCCGGGAGAGGGAUGUGGAAUUCCAGGUGUAGCGGUGAAAUGCGUAGAUAUCUGGAGGAACACUGGUGGCGAAGGCGGCAUCCUGGACCGGCAUUGACGCUGAGGCGCGAAAGCUAGGGAGCAAGCGGG